rnacentral:rRNA from 1 species
UGAGGAAUAUUGGUCAAUGGACGAGAGUCUGAACCAGCCAAGUAGCGUGAAGGAUGACUGCCCUAUGGGUUGUAAACUUCUUUUAUAUGGGAAUAAAGUGAGCCACGUGUGGCUUUUUGUAUGUACCAUACGAAUAAGGAUCGGCUAACUCCGUGCCAGCAGCCGCGGUAAUACGGAGGAUCCGAGCGUUAUCCGGAUUUAUUGGGUUUAAAGGGAGCGUAGGUGGACAGUUAAGUCAGUUGUGAAAGUUUGCGGCUCAACCGUAAAAUUGCAGUUGAUACUGGCUGUCUUGAGUACAGUAGAGGUGGGCGGAAUUCGUGGUGUAGCGGUGAAAUGCUUAGAUAUCACGAAGAACUCCGAUUGCGAAGGCAGCUCACUGGACUGCAACUGACACUGAUGCUCGAAAGUGUGGGUAUCAAACAGG